AGGAAUAUUGGUCAAUGGACGAGAGUCUGAACCAGCCAAGUAGCGUGAAGGAUGACUGCCCUAUGGGUUGUAAACUUCUUUUAUAUGGGAAUAAAGUGCAGUAUGUAUACUGUUUUGUAUGUACCAUACGAAUAAGGAUCGGCUAACUCCGUGCCAGCAGCCGCGGUAAUACGGAGGAUCCAAGCGUUAUCCGGAUUUAUUGGGUUUAAAGGGAGCGUAGGCGGAUUAUUAAGUCAGUUGUGAAAGUUUGCGGCUCAACCGUAAAAUUGCAGUUGAUACUGGAUGUCUUGAGUGCAGUUGAGGCAGGCGGAAUUCGUGGUGUAGCGGUGAAAUGCUUAGAUAUCACGAAGAACUCCGAUUGCGAAGGCAGCCUGCUAAGCUGCAACUGACAUUGAGGCUCGAAAGUGUGGGUAUCAAACAGGAUUAGAUACCCUGGUAGUCCACACGGUAAACGAUGAAUACUCGCUGUUUGCGAUAUACGGCAAGCGGCCAAGCGAAAGCGUUAAGUAUUCCACCUGGGGAGUACGCCGGCAACGGUGAAACUCAAAGGAAUUGACGGGGGCCCGCACAAGCGGAGGAACAUGUGGUUUAAUUCGAUGAUACGCGAGGAACCUUACCCGGGCUUAAAUUGCACUCGAAUGAUCCGGAAACGGUUCAGCUAGCAAUAGCGAGUGUGAAGGUGCUGCAUGGUUGUCGUCAGCUCGUGCCGUGAGGUGUCGGCUUAAGUGCCAUAACGAGCGCAACCCUUGUUGUCAGUUACUAACAGGUGAUGCUGAGGACUCUGACAAGACUGCCAUCGUAAGAUGUGAGGAAGGUGGGGAUGACGUCAAAUCAGCACGGCCCUUACGUCCGGGGCUACACACGUGUUACAAUGGGGGGUACAGAGGGCCGCUACCACGCGAGUGGAUGCCAAUCCCUAAAACCCCUCUCAGUUCGGAUCGAAGUCUGCAACCCGACUUCGUGAAGCUGGAUUCGCUAGUAAUCGCGCAUCAGCCAUGGCGCGGUGAAUACGUUCCCG
rnacentral:rRNA from 1 species